AGCACUCUGCUGGGCAACACAGCAAGACUCCAUCUCAAUAAAUAAAUAAAUAAAUAAAUAAAUAAAUAGCAGAAUCCUGUUAGCUGGCUUAAAUUAAGCAUGACAUUACCAUUAUUUAACAUUUUUUUUAAUAGAGGCAUUUUAUUGUUUCUUAAAUUGCUUUUUAGUUAUUUGGCAUUUCCCUUUGUCUUCAUAGCGUACUCCAAAUAGCGUCCUACCAAGAAACCUCACGAGUGCUGCCACCUGUGCCAGGAGGUGUGGGCGAUUGUAAAAACAUUAGACAUAAGAGAGCCUGGAAAAAUGGAUCUGUUUUCUGACAGUGACCACGGUUGGUAUUAAAUUUGUGAGUCAUUGAAAUUAAUCCCUGACUGAAUUGGAAAGGAAUUGUAUUUGCAGUAUUUGGAUUUAUUUAUUUUUCAG
rnacentral:lncRNA from 1 species